CCAGCCAGGACUCAAGGGAGGGACGAAGUUUGCAACCCUGGUUUAGCCUCUAUUGGAAUCACAGAGAUGUCACGGAAAGUGCAAUCGGGAAAUGGAUUGUCUCCAUCUCUGCUCAUAGAAAGCAGGGCCCAAGUGUACAGGCAGCGCGUUUGUAUAUGAAGUUGUAUUAACUAGCUCCCUCUGCAAUUCCACAUACUAAAUUAUGACGUCCUCCUCGGAGCAGCAGCAUAAUGGAGAACAGACGCCUGCAGGAAGAAGGGAAGCCAAGAUGGUCAGCUACGGGGAAGCUCAUCCACGGAGGGAAAGCUCAAUCGCUGACCAUCUCGGCAAUCGUCAGUUUCCGCAGGAUGUUUGAAAGCUCCCACCCCUUGCUGCCGCCUCUGCUCUCCACCAUGCUUCAGCCACCUGUCGCCCCGCCCAUCGCCUCUGACGUGUUUUGAAUCCCGGAUUUGAUAGAUGUCUGUCUGCUGCUUUUGUCUGUCUGUCAUUUGCUGCUUACUCUUUCGCUUGCUAUAUAAUGAAUAAACUCACAUAUUGGAAACUAAA
ensembl:antisense 1700124L16Rik RIKEN cDNA 1700124L16 gene